ACGGACGAAGAUUAAAAGGGAAUCGGGUGUAAAUCCCGGACAGUCCCGCUGCUGUGAAGCUCUAUAUAACAUCUUAUCAAUAAACCAAUUACAAACCACUGACGGAAAAAGAAACGUCGGGAAGGUCCGAUAAGAUGUAGAGUCAGUCAGAAGACCUGCCAUUCAAUGA
rnacentral:ncRNA from 1 species